GCAAACUUGGUCAUUUAGAGGAAGUAAAAGUCGUAACAAGGUUUCCGUAGGUGAACCUGCGGAAGGAUCAUUAUCGAGUUUGAACGGGUUGUAGCUGGCCUCCCGAGGCAUGUGCACGCCCUGCUCAUCCACUCUACACCUGUGCACUUACUGUGGGUUUCUGAUGGCCGCGCGGGCUCAUGGCUCGUGAGGUCGUUGGGGCCUACGUCAUUACAAACGCUUCAGUAUCAGAAUGUAUACCGCGAUAUAACGCAUUAUAUACAACUUUCAGCAACGGAUCUCUUGGCUCUCGCAUCGAUGAAGAACGCAGC
rnacentral:misc_RNA from 1 species